rnacentral:rRNA from 1 species
GAUGAACGCUGGCGGCGUGCCUAAUACAUGCAAGUCGAGCGAACAGAUGAGGAGCUUGCUCCUCUGACGUUAGCGGCGGACGGGUGAGUAACACGUGGAUAACCUACCUAUAAGACUUGGAUAACUUCGGGAAACCGGAGCUAAUACCGGAUAAUAUAUUGAACCGCAUGGUUCAAUAGUGAAAGACGGUUUUGCUGUCACUUAUAGAUUGAUCCGCGCCGCAUUAGCUAGUUGGUAAGGUAACGGCUUACCAAGGCAACGAUGCGUAGCCGACCUGAGAGGGUGAUCGGCCACACUGGAACUGAGACACGGUCCAGACUCCUACGGGAGGCAGCAGUAGGGAAUCUUCCGCAAUGGGCGAAAGCCUGACGGAGCAACGCCGCGUGAGUGAUGAAGGUCUUCGGAUCGUAAAACUCUGUUAUUAGGGAAGAACAAAUGUGUAAGUAACUAUGCACGUCUUGACGGUACCUAAUCAGAAAGCCACGGCUAACUACGUG